rnacentral:tRNA from 1 species
UGAGGGGUAGCUCUAUGGUAGAGCACUUGUUUACCAUGCAUGAGGCUCUGGGUUCAAUCCCCAGCACCCAA